CGUAGGUGGUAGUGCAAGUCUGAGGUGGAAUCUUAGGGCUUAACCCUAAAAUUGCCUUGGAAACUGCAUUACUUGAGUCAGUGAGGGGAGGGUAGAAUUCCUGGUGUAGCGGUGAAAUGCGUAGAUAUCAGGAGGAAGGCCGGUGGCGAAGGCGGCCCUCUGGCGCUGAACUGACACUGAGGCGCGAAAGCGUGGGUAGCAAACAGGAUUAGAUACCCUGGUACGUCCACGCCCUAAACGGUGGGCACUAGGUGUAGGGCUCGUAAGGGUUCUGUGCCGAAGCGAAAGCAUUAAGUCGCCCCGCUGGGGAGUACCGGCCGCGAAGGUUGAA
rnacentral:rRNA from 1 species